rnacentral:rRNA from 1 species
UCGGGAAUUUUGGGCAAUGGGCGAAAGCCUGACCCAGCAACGCCGCGUGAGGGAUGAAGUAUUUCGGUAUGUAAACCUCGAAAGAAUGGGAAGAAUAAAUGACGGUACCAUUUAUAAGCUCCGGCUAACUACGUGCCAGCAGCCGCGGUAAUACGUAGGGAGCAAGCGUUGUUCGGAUUUACUGGGCGUAAAGGGCGCGUAGGCGGCGCGGUAAGUCACUUGUAAAAUCUCUGAGCUUAACUCAGAACGGCCAAGUGAUACUGCUGUGCUAGAGUGCGGAAGAGGCAACCGGAAUUCUUGGUGUAGCGGUGAAAUGCGUAGAUAUCAAGAGGAACACCUGAGGCGAAGGCGGGUUGCUGGGCCGACACUGACGCUGAUGCGCGAAAGCCAGGGGAGCAAACG